rnacentral:rRNA from 1 species
UACGUAGGUGGCAAGCGUUGUCCGGAUUUAUUGGGCGUAAAGGGUGCGUAGGCGGCGGAGUAAGUUGGGUGUGAAAUCCCGGGGCUCAACCUCGGAAUGGCAUUCAAUACUGCUUCGCUAGAGUACUGGAGAGGAGGCUGGAAUUUACGGUGUAGCAGUGAAAUGCGUAGAUAUCGUAAGGAAGGCCGGUGGCGAAAGCGAGCCUCUGGACAGUUACUGACGCUGAUGCACGAAGGCCAGGGGAGCAAACGGG